UACGUAGGGUGCGAGCGUUGUCGGGAAUUACUGGGCGUAAAGAGCUCGUAGGUGGUUUGUCGCGUUGUCCGUGAAAACUCACAACUCAAUUGUGGGCGUGCGGGCGAUACGGGCAGACUGGAGUACUGCAGGGGAGACUGGAAUUCCUGGUGUAGCGGUGGAAUGCGCAGAUAUCAGGAGGAACACCGGUGGCGAAGGCGGGUCUCUGGGCAGUAACUGACGCUGAGGAGCGAAAGCGUGGGGAGCGAACAGG
rnacentral:rRNA from 1 species